rnacentral:rRNA from 1 species
UACAGAGGUCCCAAGCGUUGUUCGGAUUCACUGGGCGUAAAGGGUGCGUAGGCGGUCGGGUAAGUCUGAUGUGAAAUCUCACAGCUUAACUGUGAAACUGCAUUGGAUACUAUCCGACUCGAGGAAUGGAGGGGAGACUGGAAUUCUCGGUGUAGCAGUGAAAUGCGUAGAUAUCGAGAGGAACACCAGUGGCGAAGGCGAGUCUCUGGGCAGUAACUGACGCUGAGGAGCGAAAGCGUGGGGAGCGAACAGG